GUGGGUGUAGCUCAGUGGUUAGAGUGCUUGACUGUGGCUCAAGUGGUCGAGGGUUCGAAUCCCUUCACCCACCCCA
rnacentral:tRNA from 1 species